rnacentral:misc_RNA from 1 species
CCGUUUUUGAUUGAUUUCAAUCAUAAACAAACUUUUAACUUCGCACAAUCUCACUCUCAUGUGUGAUUGUGUCGCACCAUUAUGUAAAUAACAAGACAUAACACAUCAAACGUUUUGUCUUGUUUAAAACCUUUCCAUUCAACAAAUCAUUGUUGUUUGUCAUUGAAUAUGAAUCGAAUCUAUAACAGAAAAACAAAAAUA